rnacentral:rRNA from 1 species
CCUACGGGGGGCUGCAGUGGGGAAUAUUGCACAAUGGGGGAAACCCUGAUGCAGCCAUGCCGCGUGUGUGAAGAAGGCCUUCGGGUUGUAAAGCACUUUCAGCGGGGAGGAAAGGUUGGCGCCUAAUACGUGUCAACUGGGACGUUACUCGCAGAAGAAGCACCGGAUAACUGCGUGCCCGCAGCCGCUGUAAUACGGAGGGUGCAAGCGUUAAUCGGAAUUACUGGGCGUAAAGCGCACGCAGGCGGUUGGAUAAGUUAGAGGUGAAAGACCCGUGCUCAACCUGGGAAUUGCAUUUGAAACUGUCCAGCUAGAGUCUUGUAGAGGGGGGUAGAAUUCCAGGUGUAGCGGUGAAAUGCGUAGAGAUCUGGAGGAAUACCGGUGGCGAAGGCGGCCCCCCGGACAAAGACUGACGCUCAGGUGCGAAAGCGUGGGGAGCAAACAGGAUUAGAUACCCUGGUAGUC